CGUAGGUGACCUGCGGAAGGAUCAUUACCAGAGAGGAGCCCGAGCCCCUUGGGGCUCGGCCCCGCGGGCUC
rnacentral:rRNA from 1 species